CAGCAGCCGCGGGAAUACGUAGGGUGCGAGCGUUAAUCGGAAUUACUGGGCGUAAAGCGUGCGCAGGCGGUUGUGUAAGACAGGUGUGAAAUCCCCGGGCUUAACCUGGGAACUGCGCUUGUGACUGCACAGCUAGAGUAUGGCAGAGGGGGGUGGAAUUCCACGUGUAGCAGUGAAAUGCGUAGAGAUGUGGAGGAACACCGAUGGCGAAGGCAGCCCCCUGGGCCAAUACUGACGCUCAUGCACGAAAGCGUGGGGAGCAAACAGGAUUAGAUACCCCGGUAGUUCCUGUCUCUUAUAC
rnacentral:rRNA from 1 species